rnacentral:rRNA from 1 species
AACACGUGGGUAACCUGCCUGUAAGACUGGGAUAACUCCGGGAAACCGGAGCUAAUACCGGAUAGUUCCUUGAACCGCAUGGUUCAAGGAUGAAAGACGGUUUCGGCUGUCACUUACAGAUGGACCCGCGGCGCAUUAGCUAGUUGGUGAGGUAACGGCUCACCAAGGCGACGAUGCGUAGCCGACCUGAGAGGGUGAUCGGCCACACUGGGACUGAUAC